rfam:Gossypium raimondii Chr02_contig_1478, whole genome shotgun sequence.
UAUUAAAAAUUUCAUCCAUUUGUAUUGUUAAAAACUGGUCUGGCUGACAGAAUAACCAAAUAGAGACAUGUAAUGUGCUAUGUAUACCUCACACUGACGUACAUGGAUCAAUUUUUAACCGUAGAAAUGGAUGAAAUUUUUAAUA